GCUGUGCUGUCAUCUUUGCAGACCAAGAAGUUUAUGGGGCUGUGGAUCUGAUGUCUGGGGACUUAAAUUCAGUAAGUGCACAAUCUCACUCUUUUCCUGAAACCAUGAAGCCAAAAGUUGGAGGGAAACCGAGAUGCUCAGCUGGCCUCUGGGCAAGGGAUCUCUGUGGAGGUACAGCAAAACUCAAAGCCAGCCCGGGCUCACCGAGAAGCACGGGGACCUUCUGAGCUCCAACACAUCGUUGACAACUUGCUUUUCUAAUGAGCCAAUGCAAAAGUCCAAUGCGUGCCCUCCGCACGCUGCCCCGACGCCUGGGCAGGAGCCUGGGGCAAGAUCCCCGGAGAAGGGAGGCUGGUGGCUUUGUUCCUCAAAGGCAAAGAAAAUGGGCAGUAGCUGCAGACGGAGCCAGCAAGGCCGUAAGGGAGAGCACGGACUCCGAGGACGGCGCUGCGAGUCCGAGUUCCUGCAGCACGGCCGCAUGGCCACUCCGCGCCUCCUCCGUGUGAAGGGGGAAUGAAGAUGCUUCGCCUCCCCUGGAUGCCGCUUCAUGUUUCGUGCUGGACAACCCCAGACGCUCACCUGGUUGCCCCCAAAAUCUUCAUCCUGCUUGUAAACACUGGGGCUUUCAAACCACAACAGCUGGACAUCUUUCACAAGGACUUGGGGUUUCAAGCUUUCUUCCCCCACGUCUAGGAGAGAAAGAAGAAGCUGGAACGAAAAGUUAGAAUGCUGCUAAAGCUGCACGACUGCAGCAUCUUGGUCCUUAACAAAAGCUCCAGACGCUGGAAUUCGAGAUGAAAUAAUUCAGAUUGACAACAUAGUAUUAAAAGCACUAAAUGCAUUUUCACUCUUA